GCACCGGUAGCAAUCAUACGAGUAGGAGACAAAAUGAGUCUUGAGAGCCAAUUAGGGUUUUGAGGAGGCGAAUUGGGCAGGAAUCGAGGAGGCCGCUCGUAGGGAGUCCUGGGAGCAACGGUUCGCCUAGCUCGGACUAUUUUGCCCCCGGAUCGGAGCUCGGCGGCCCGUUGAGUUCUGGAAAUGGAGGCCAUGUGGGUGACAAGAAGGAAUAAUUAGAUUUGAUCCACUCGAGUUUUUGUAGCUGUUAGUGUGAUAUCGGUUAG
rnacentral:misc_RNA from 1 species